UGUUCCCGGGCCUUGUACACACCGCCCGUCCCACCACGAAAGUUGGCAAUACCCGAAGCCGGUGGCCUAACCCGCAAGGGAGGGAGCCGUCGAAGGUAGGGUCGAUGAUUGGGGUG
rnacentral:rRNA from 1 species